rnacentral:rRNA from 1 species
AUUGAACGCUGGCGGCAGGCCUAACACAUGCAAGUCGAGCGGAUGAAGGGAGCUUGCUCCUGGAUUCAGCGGCGGACGGGUGAGUAAUGCCUAGGAAUCUGCCUGGUAGUGGGGGAUAACGUCCGGAAACGGGCGCUAAUACCGCAUACGUCCUGAGGGAGAAAGUGGGGGAUCUUCGGACCUCACGCUAUCAGAUGAGCCUAGGUCGGAUUAGCUAGUUGGUGGGGUAACGGCCUACCAAGGCGACGAUCCGUAACUGGUCUGAGAGGAUGAUCAGUCACACUGUAACUGAGACACGGUCCAGACUCCUGCGGGAGGCAGCAGUGGGGAAUAUUGGACAAUGGGCGAAAGCCUGAUCCAGCCAUGCCGCGUGUGUGAAGAAGGUCUUCGGAUUGUAGAGCAAUGUAAGUUGGGGGGAAGGGCAGUAAGUUAAUACCUUGCUGUUUUGACGUUACCAACAGAAUAAGCACCGGCUAACUUCGUG